GACGAACGCUGGCGGCGUGCUUAACACAUGCCAGUCGAACGGAAAGGCCCUGCUUGCAGGGUACUCGAGUGGCGAACGGGUGAGUAACACGUGGGUGAUCUGCCCUGCACUUCGGGAUAAGCCUGGGAAACUGGGUCUAAUACCGGAUAGGAGCCAUUUUUAGUGUGAUGGUUGGAAAGUUUUUUCGGUGUAGGAUGAGCUCGCGGCCUAUCAGCUUGUUGGUGGGGUAAUGGCCUACCAAGGCGGCGACGGGUAGCCGGCCUGAGGGGGUGGACGGCCACAUUGGGACUGAGAUACGGCCCAGACUCCGACGGGAGGCAGCAGUGGGGAAUAUUGCACAAUGGGCGCAAGCCUGAUGCAGCGACGCCGCGUGGGGGAUGACGGCCUUCGGGUUGUAAACUCCUUUCGCUAGGGACGAAGCUUUUUGUGACGGUACCUAGAUAAGAAGCACCGGCUAACUACGUG
rnacentral:rRNA from 1 species